GAUGAACGCUGGCGGCGUGCUUAACACAUGCAAGUCGAACGGUGAAGGCGGAGCUUGCUCUGCUGGAUCAGUUGCGAACGGGUGAGUAACACGUGAGCAAUCUGCCCCUGACUCUGGGAUAAGCGCUGGAAACGGCGUCUAAUACUGGAUACGAGCUGCGAAGGCAUCUUCAGCAGCUGGAAAGAAUUUCGGUCAGGGAUGAGCUCGCGGCCUAUCAGCUUGUUGGUGAGGUAAUGGCUCACCAAGGCGUCGACGGGUAGCCGGCCUGAGAGGGGGACCGGCCACACUGGGACUGAGACACGGCCCAGACUCCUACGGGAGGCAGCAGGGGGAAAUAUUGCACAAUGGGCGAAAGCCUGAUGCAGCAACGCCGCGUGAGGGACGACGGCCUUCGGGUUGUAAACCUCUUUUAGCAGGGAAGAAGCGAAAGUGACGGUACCUGCAGAAAAAGCGCCGGCUAAAUACGUG
rnacentral:rRNA from 1 species